AGCAGCGAACCGCAGCCAGUGGGAGCCGUGAUCAGCCGAACCUGCGGAAGGGGCAGACCCCUGCAUUCUUAUAUGUCUGGCAACAAGAACACUGUAUAGAAGUGAUGGGAAGGAAGUGCAGACAGGACCAGAUAAAGGCAGAACAGGUGGCUCCUUAAGACAGGAAGACAUCAGGGGCAGGAAAAUGUCUGAGGCUGUCUAAUGUAUGAACCAGCAAUGGAGAAAUGCAGAAAAUAAUUACCUCUGCACGAAAGCAUCUUGGAAAAUUUGAAGUGACAGUGUGACUGACUGUAGUAUGUUCUGAGUUAAUUCUAUACCCGAUAAUGUAGUCACGGACAAGAUGAACACUGAUUCACUGCUAGCCUUCACCACCAUAACUUCUUGUGAUUCUUAUUCAACACAUCUUUUCAAA